rnacentral:rRNA from 1 species
UACGUAGGGGGCAAGCGUUGUCCGGAUUUAUUGGGCGUAAAGAGCGUGUAGGCGGCCAGACAGGUCCGUUGUGAAAACUCGAGGCUCAACCUCGAGAUGUCGAUGGAAACCGUCUGGCUAGAGUCCGGAAGAGGAGUGUGGAAUUCCUGGUGUAGCGGUGAAAUGCGCAGAUAUCGGGAGGAACACCAAUGGCGAAGGCAGCUCGCUGGGACGGUACCGACGCUGAGACGCGAAAGCGUGGGGAGCAAACAGG